rnacentral:rRNA from 1 species
GUAGUAUAGAGGACUACCAUGGUUGUAACGGGUAACGGAGAAUCAGGGUUUGAUUCCGGAGAAGGAGCCUGAGAAACGGCUACUACUUCCAAGGAAGGCAGCAGGCGCGCAAAUUACCCAAUCCCAACACGGGGAGGUAGUGACAAAAAAUAACAAUAUCGAUGUUUUUACAACUUUGAUAAUUGGAAUGAGUACAAUCUAAAACCUUUAACGAGUAUCAAUUGGAGGGCAAGUCUGGUGCCAGCAGCCGCGGUAAUUCCAGCUCCAAUAGCAUAUAUUAAAGUUGUUGCAGUUAAAAAGCUCGUAGUUGGAUUUUGAAAUGUUAUAAAACAACCCGCUUUUGUAAGUGUGUUUUUUGUUGUUUUAUAUCUUUCUCCUUACUAGACUUUCACUAUUGUUCUUCAUUGAUCGAUAGUUUCAUCUCUCUUCUGAGGUGAGUGAUGGUUAGACCUCUUGGGUUUAGGAUUGUGGAUGAUUGCUUUUGGUGAUUGUUCUGUUUAGAUUCAAGAACUAAUCAUUAGAAAUCUAGUUCUUUUACUUUGAGUAAAUUAGAGUGUUCAAGGCAAGCAAAUUAUUAUUGUUGCAAUGAAUACUAUUAGCAUGGGAUAAUGGAACAGGACACGUAUUCUAGUUUUCUGUUGGUUUCUAGAAUUUUUUGGCUUCUUCGGAAGUCAGUAGUGUAAUGAUUAAAAGGGACAGUUGGGGGCAUUCGUAUUUCAUUGUCAGAGGUGAAAUUCUUGGAUUUAUGAAAGACGAACUUCUGCGAAAGCAUUUGUCAAAGAUGUUUUCAUUAAUCAAGAACGAAAGUUAGGGGAUCGAAGACGAUCAGAUACCGUCGUAGUCUUAACCAUAAACUAUGCCGACCAGGGAUUGGAAGAUGUAUUAUUCUGUGUAACAGCAGAAAAACUCCUUCAGUACCUUACGAGAAAUCAUAAGUCUUUGGGUUCUGGGGGGAGUAUGGUCGCAAGGCUGAAACUUAAAGGAAUUGACGGAAGGGCACCACCAGGAGUGGAGCCUGCGGCUUAAUUUGACUCAACACGGGAAAACUUACCAGGUCCAGACACAGUUAGGAUUGACAGAUUGAGAGCUCUUUCUUGAUUCUGUGGGUGGUGGUGCAAGGCCGUUCUUAGUUGGUGGAGUGAUUUGUCUGGUUAAUUCCGAUAACGAACGAGACCUCAGCCUACUAAUUAGUUAUGCAAAUGAUUACAUUCUUUAUGAGGGGGGUUUUUAUUACAGCUUUGGGUUUGACUUGGAGAUGUAAUAGAAAAACUCGUUUUCAUUUGUUAGAGAUUUGACACUUCGGUUGACGAUUUCGAUAAUGACUUCUUAGAGGGACACUUGGUGUUUAACCAAGGGAAGUUUGAGGCAAUA